rnacentral:rRNA from 1 species
UAAGCAUGUUAGUCUUUGUAGUAAUACAAGGCAGACGGCUCAGUAACGCGUAGUCAACCUAACCUAUGGAUGGGGAUAACUUCGGGAAACUGAGGAUAAUACCCAAUAGGCCAUUAUACCUGGAAUGGUUUAUGGCUCAAAUGAAUUUCGCCGUAGGAUGGGACUGCGAGCUAUCAGCUUGUUGGUGAGGUAAUGGCCCACCAAGGCGAUUACAGCUACGGGCUCUGAGAGGAGUAGCCCGGAGAUGGGUACUGAGACAAGGACCCAGGCCCUAUGGGGCGCAGCAGGCGAGAAAACUUUGCAAUGAGCGAAAGCUCGACAAGGUUAAUCCGAGUGGUUUCUGCUAAAGAAACCUUUUGUUAGUUGUAAAACUACUAACGAAUAAGGGGUGGGCAAGUUCUGGUGUCAGCCGCCGCGGUAAAACCAGCACCUCAAGUGGUC